AAUCCGCGUUUUGCCCGUUUCUGAAACGAAUUGGCAGCCGCCAAACCAGGUGCGAUUAAUCACGCAUCAGGCUUCAAUUUGUUGCCUUCAACAAUUUCUAGCAGUGGGAUUGCAUCUCUGCCUUUAAAUACCGGGUUCACGGAUCAGGGAGUUUCAGGGACAGCAACAUGGGAGAGGAAGAUUGCAAAGGCGAGGAGAGGUAUUCGGAUGCGAAGGCAGUCGUUAGCGAGGACACCUGAGCGCAGACCUGCCUGGAGUGUGAACGUCCGAAGAGACUCGGAUGCGUUCGGCUUGAAAUCCGACAGGUUCGAGACAAGAAGACUCAACCUGAAGGGCGGCUAGCUGCUAACGCGACUCGGAACAAACUGGUUCUCCCUCUCAGGGCAGCCCGGACGCUCAGCCCGCCGGUUCUUGUAGCUGGACAGAUAAGCGUCGGGUCCUCGCCACUCCCCUCCAACCUCCCCUCCCGGUAUUGAUUAGUCAGAGCUGGACGUGUACAAAAGUGGUCAAUAAAAAUCAAAUGACAAACCA